AAGUCCUGACAGUGGGCUCUUGGUGGCAGGGUGACUCUCUUGGCCCUGCCCAGGCUGGAACCCAGGCCAGGUACCUGCACUCAGGUCCAGACACAGAGAGGCCAGGCCCAGGGCAGCCAGAAGAGGCCCAAAUAUGCCAGGGCUGCAACAUCGCGUCCCCAGGCACACAGACAAUGCCAGUACUCAAUUCGCUGUAAUCAUGGAAAGCCUGACUGCUCUACCUGGAAUUAGACUUCCUGCUAUGGAUAACCUGUAAACCAACCUCCCUGCCUUCCCUUCGUGGAAAAUUGAAGUUGAUUAUUUAAAAAAAUAAGACUCUGUAUUAAGAGGCCCUGUCAUCUGAAAAUGGAAACCUCACCAACACAAAAUAUAUCAAAAGGAUGAGUAUUCUUUUUACAAAAAGAGUUCCUACUGAGUUAAUUUUAGUGGAUUUUUAGUAAAGCCUUUUUAGACAACUAUAACAAGGCAGAGAGGACUGUUUGAAGGCGGCAGCUUUGAGCAGGAGAGC
rnacentral:lncRNA from 1 species